rnacentral:rRNA from 1 species
GCCCAGCGCUGAAUCCUAUGGCCACUGGUCAUCAGGAACUGUAGCGUAUAGGUGCAACUGUUCGGUGGUUUUGCUCACCCAAAGUUCCCUUGAGUGGGGCUACAGUCCAUAGAAGGUGCUAGGCCUGUACGGGUGGCGGAGCUGUCCGAUGAUGGUUGCUCCUUGGAGUCGAGUUGCCUGGGAACGCAGCUCAAAGUAGGUGGUAAACCUCAUCUAAGGCUAAAUAUGACCACGAGACCGAUAGCAAACAAGUACCGUGAGGGAAAGUUGCAAAGAACUUUGAAGAGAGAGUUCAAGAGGGCGUGAAACCGCUGAGAAGGAAACGGAUAGAGUUGACGAAACUCAGUGGCAUUCAUCCGGCCGAUCGGCUGUUGGCUGCUGUUCUGCGUUAGUUGGCUUCCUUUACGGGAGGUCGGCAACUUGGACGGCUCGGCCGGCAGUGAUUGCUGGUGCUUUUGCCAUUGGUAUGCGCUGAGAAGUUCGCUGUGGUGCGUUUAAGGCUGCUAAAGAGGACCACUCCCGCAUGGGUGUGGAAACUUUUGGCGGUGUUGAGGCGUAUCCGCGGUGGAUGCUGAUUUCGCAGUGCAACGCUUGCUUGUAGCGCAACGGCUGUUGCGGACUGACGUGGCUGUUGGGCGGUCGCAUGCGACUUGCCUACAGUUUGCUGUUGGUCUGUUGGCGGUAYCUGGUUGCGUUUGGCGUUUGCAUCUCGGUGUGAAAGUCGACCACCUAUCCGACCCGUCUUGAAACACGGACCAAGGAGUUUAGCAUAUGCGCAAGUCAUUGGGUGGUAAACCUAAAGGCGUAAUGAAAGUAAAGAUCGCUUUGAAUGCGGUUGAUAUGGGAUCUGUGUUGGCGGCGGCGGCAGCAAUGUCACACUCUGCACAGCGCACCAUAGCCCCGUUCUUGUUGCUUGCAAUAGGGCGGAGGUAGAGCGCAUACGCUGAGACCCGAAAGAUGGUGAACUAUGCCUGAGCAGGAUGAAGCCAGAGGAAACUCUGGUGGAAGUCCGAAGCGGUUCUGACGUGCAAAUCGAUCGUCUGACU